GAUGAACGCUGGCGGCGUGCCUAAUACAUGCGAGUCGAGCGAACAGACGAGGAGCUUGCUCCUCUGACGUUAGCGGCGGACGGGUGAGUAACACGUGGAUAACCUACCUAUAAGACUGGGAUAACUUCGGGAAACCGGAGCUAAUACCGGAUAAUAUAUUGAACCGCAUGGUUCAAUAGUGAAAGACGGUUUUGCUGUCACUUAUAGAUGGAUCCGCGCCGCAUUAGCUAGUUGGUAAGGUAACGGCUUACCAAGGCAACGAUGCGUAGCCGACCUGAGAGGGUGAUCGGCCACACUGGAACUGAGACACGGUCCAGACUCCUACGGGAGGCAGCAGUAGGGAAUCUUCCGCAAUGGGCGAAAGCCUGACGGAGCAACGCCGCGUGAAUGAUGAAGGUCUUCGGAUCGUAAAACUCUGUUAUUAGGGAAGAACAAAUGUGUAAGUAACUAUGCACGUCUUGACGGUACCUAAUCAGAAAGCCACGGCUAACUACGU
rnacentral:rRNA from 1 species